rnacentral:rRNA from 1 species
UACGGAGGGUGCAAGCGUUAUCCGGAAUCACUGGGUUUAAAGGGUGCGUAGGCGGCGCAAUAAGUCAGAGGUGAAAGCCUGCAGCUCAACUGUAGAAUUGCCUUUGAUACUGCUGCGCUUGAAUCAGGUUGAGGUUGGCGGAAUGUGGCAUGUAGCGGUGAAAUGCAUAGAUAUGCCAUAGAACACCAAUUGCGAAGGCAGCUGACUGGGCCUGAAUUGACGCUGAGGAACGAAAGCGUGGGGAGCAAACAGG